rnacentral:SRP_RNA from 1 species
ACUUCUCAAGUGGCAGAAUUUCGUCAUGCUUUUCUGGAUGCCGAUGAGAAGUGCCGAGAUGCGCUCUUCCUCAAUAGGGUGCUGACGGAGGAGGCAGCGAGGGCCAAGGAGGCAAAUGA